UCUCCGUUGGUGAACCAGCGGAGGGAUCAUUGCUGGAACUGUGUCCGCAAGGACACAACCCCAGAUACCCUUUGUGAACACAACUUGUUGCUUCGGGGGCGACCCUGCCGUUUCGACGGCGAGCGCCCCCGGAGGCCUUCAAACACUGCAUCUUUGCGUCGGAGUUUAAGUAAAUUAAACAAAACUUUCAACAACGGAUCUCUUGGUUCUGGCAUCGAUGAAGAACGCAGC
rnacentral:misc_RNA from 1 species